GCUAGGUGUGGUGGUGCACACCUGUAGUCACAGCUCCUUGGGAGGUUGAGGCGGUAGGAUCACUUGAGCCCAGGAGUUCUGGGCUGUAGUGUGUUAAUGCCAGUUGGGUGUUUGCACUAAGUUCAGCAUCAAUGUGGUGACCUCCCAUGAACAGAAGACUUAACAGGUUACCUAGGGAAGGGUGAACUGACCCAGGUUGGAAGUGGAACAGGUCAAAACUCCAGUGCUGAUUAGUAGUGGAAUCACACCUAUGAAUAGCCACUGCUCUCUAGUCUGGGCAGCAUAAGGAGACCCUGUCUCUU
ensembl:misc_RNA Metazoa_SRP Metazoan signal recognition particle RNA